AGGACGCUACCCGCGUGGACGCGGCCGCCUCCUGCCCCGGUUCCCGCUGAGCUCCGGCAGGGCCGUGGCGGCCACGGAAAAGGCAAGCCGGGUCGCUAUCCCGGCGCCCGAGUCCCGGGGCCGCUGCGGGGGAGUCUGCCCUCCGCCUCCCCAAACGCCCCAGAUCCCGAGACACGGCCCAGACUCCUGGUAACUUCGCAGACGCUCAGGGUCGGCCUGCGCCGCGAUCCACAGGCCGGCUUGCACAGCCCCUCCUCUCUGUCCUCUCUCGGCUCUGGUCCCUGCUCCCACACCGGCCACCCUCUAGUUUGGAAACCGAAUUUCGCCUUGCGUCCUGCGGGCCGACAGGACGCAGACGUAACCCUGCAAAUGCCCUGCAGGGAUUGCUUCCCGCCUCGGCUGCAGCAUCUGUGAAGUGGCGCCCCACUUCCCCGCGCCCCUCUCGCUGGCUUCUGCGGGUGGGUCGGAGACCCGACGGACUGUUGGGAACCCCGGCGGGACUAGCGCAGCCCACCCCCUGGGGCCGUUUGCCGGCCGAGGCCCCGAGGCGGUACCCAGACUGGAAGGGCCCCGGCCUGUCCCGCGGUGCAUCCCGCGUCCCCUCCAGGGCUCGGUGGAGGGGGUGAGGAUCCAGCCCCGCCGGCUGGGCGGCUCCUCUCCACCCCUGCACGUUCCUCCGCGCCGCGAUGCAGGGAGGCUGAACACCCCAGCCGCCCUACUGUCGGGCCGUACCACCGGGCUCCCCAAACCCCGUGGAGGGCGGAUCCGGGGCUGCAGGGGCGAGGACGGGCGGCAGAGGCCUUAGUCCCAGGGCUUGCAGUGUCCAGCUCCCCAGCCCUCCUUCCCUUCUGCAUCCUGGACGAAGCUACAGUGAAGGAACGCCGGAGGCCCAGAUGGCAGGAACACACCUGCACCCAGCACAGACCCAUGCACCCACUGCAGCCCAGGCCAGUGAAGAGACCUCACUGAGGAUCCACUGUGUGCCAGGCCUGUGCUAGGGUGAAGAGGGCAGGGUCCUGGCUGUGAGCAGCUCUUCAUUUAUGGGACAGACCCCCUCACCCCCAGGAGAGCCACAGAAUUAGGAUGGGAGUUCAGGGUGGAGAGCUCCAAAGGGUUUGGGCACAUGGCCUUCCCUGUUCCCCUCCAGGCCUAGAUCUAGAAGACAGUCCAGGUGGAGGGUGAAGACAAAACUUUAGGGAGUCAGACCCAACUUCUUCCUGACUCCCUCCUUCCGGUCCUUCCCUGCUAUCAGCCCCCAGCUUACUGAGCACCCUGAAUUCAUAAUGUGUAGUAUGGGGGAAAACAAGCAGGGUAUUGUGGAGACAACUGCAUGCAGAUGAGGGCUGGCACUUCCUGGGGGGGAUCUCGGUUGUUGGAGCUGUCAUUGGUAGGGAUCCCUGCGCCCUCUAACUCCUCCUCAUCCAGAACCCAGGUCAGUCUAGGAGCUCUGAGUUGGGGUCACAGAAAGCAGCUGCUCACUCCCUGGCUAGACACAGAGGGCAAGUCAGACCAGGAAGAACAGGGCUCCUGGGGACUUCAGAUCCCAUCACCCAUGCAGGUCUUAUUGGGCUCCCAGAGCCAGGCCCCACCCUCUCAAUCUUGACCUGCCCUAGUCUCACCUGGUCUCCUAGCAUUGGUGAUCAGUGCUUCCCCCCUCCCCCCAGGUCUACUCCUCCUCUCCAGGAGGCCGAGGCUCUGGGAUCACACUGCAGCAAUCUUGUAUACACUGACAUAUGGCCAGAGGCCCCUCUAUAAGGUGGAGUGCUCCUGGAACUGGCUGUCCUGUAGUACUGGUAAAUACAGGGCCUAUUUCCCCUCAGCAGACCUGCAGUUCCAGGGCAUCUUGUGCCUCUACAAAGCCACAGGGCUGGCCCAAGUUUGGGAGCCUUCAUGAAUAAAAGAAUGAGUCAGUAAUGAAUGAAGAGCACUGAGUGAGAAGGAAGUGAUCUUUAGAUCUGAUUUCAGCCCCGAAGACCAGAGGCAAUGGGGGGAGCGGUGAUCUUACUGGACAUCACAGUGGAGGCAGCAGCCCUGCACUGAGCACCUGAGUCUUAGUGACCUGUCCUUCACCUAUCCCGACUUGCAAAGGGCUGCCCUGCUUCAGCAGCCUGAUCCAGUCCCACGUGAUGGGGACACAGCAGUGAGCAAGCCACCCAGGUCCCUAGCUGCAUGCUGGAAAAGGCAGCUAGCUUGCUCAAGGGGGCCUCUGCGGGAUGAUGGGGGCAGAGGGUGAUGGCAGAAAGAGAAACUUGGUCUAUCUGUGGGGCUCUCUGGCUUGCAGUGGUGGAACACAGGUGGUCUGGGCUCCCGUGCCAGGCAGGAUGCUGGCCUCUGCCCCACAGCUGGCCUCUGCUGUGUCACGGCACUGUGUGGCCCUCACAAUGAUCCCGUGUGGUAGGAACUAUAAUGGUUUGCACCUUACAAAUGGAAAACUGGUGCUUAGAGGUACAGGGACAUGUCAUCAAGGCAGGAGAGUGAGAUCCAUCUGUCUGACCACAAAGCCCUCCUCCAGUGACAUGCACAGCCAAGUGAUGGGCUCCAGGGUGUGUGCACAACAGAGCCACUGCUGCAGAGGGAUCUGUGUUUGGAGUGCCUUCUUGAGUUUCUUGGCAGUGCCAGGAGUGUGAGCCCCAGAGGGUGUGCUGGCAUCGCAGUCACCCACUUGCUCCCGACAACCGCCAGGAUAUUUGUUUGUGGGUGUCCAGAAAGACUGAGCCACUUGCGAUACGUAUUUCCUCUGAGUCCAGCCCUUGCUGGGAAGUCCAGGUCCCCUUCUCCUUCCCAACACAUACCUUCAAGGGCAGACACCCCAGAACUGUUCUUUGGCCCUCACUGGGACAGGCUCCACCAUGCCCCCUCCUCAGCCGGUGGCUUCACAGGCUCAGUUCAAGGCUAACAUGCCAAGCAAGUGAUGCUCAGUGUCGAGGCUUCUACCAAGGCAUUUCCAAUCAUAAAAAAAUAUGUGUCAGUUAAGUGUGUGUUGAGCCUGGACCACAUGGGACAUAGUUGUUCUAAUAAACACGAGUAAGCCAGUUUUCACAUUAGAGAAAUAACGGUUUCUAGCAGAAAUGUGGUGCUGUUAAAAGGGGUUAAUUAAUAAACAGCAGGUAAUUGUUCGUGGCACAUUGUGGCAGAGAGUAAUUUCCAUUUUAGAGGAUGGAAGGGCCAAAUACCCUCCCCACUCAGCAUUUUUGUGUAAUAAUCACCUUGGCUUCACCUCCGCCUUUAAUUUUUACAGCUGGAGCUGUUUACCAUCUUCCAACUUUCACUAAAAAGGAAAAACCAUCGCUUAAACAAAGCCAUUGAGAACUCAGCAUCGUAUGUGGAUUUCUUAACAUAAAUAAAUCAUACAAACCAAGAUUUAUGUUCUCCGAAUGAUGUCAUUCAUUGAAGGCUGCCUUCCCGAUCAGAUCAGCCUCUACCGAUUUCCUUGUGUGUGUGCGCGCCCUGCGCUUUCUGCAAAACAAGGGAGGCAGUGCUGGCCUCGGCCUCAACACUCCUGUCUCUCUGCUCAGCCCAGGACUCCAGCAAGGCCUGCCUACAUUCGCCCAGGUUCUUACCAUUUCAACCCCAUGAAUCGCUGUAAAGCUUUGCUUCUGAACAGUAAGUUCGGAGGCUGGAAGACUGUUCAAGCUUCCCGGGGAAUUUCUGCAGACCCCAGCAGGAGCUGAAGGUCCUUUGGCUUCUCCAGAGUCUCCAGUGACGCUGGCUACAGAGGAAUCACUUUGAAAUGAAUGAGGAACAGAAAAAAAACACCAUUAAUGGGGGAAUGAGAUAUGGUUUACCCUUACCAUGGAGGAAUCUAUGGUCAUAAAAAGGAACAAAGUCCUGCCACACGCUGCAACUUGAAUGAACUCAACAUCAUUCUCAGUGACAGGAGCUGGUCAUGAAAGGCCACGUGCUAUAUGAGUCCAUUUAUAUGAAAUAUCCAGGAUGGGCAAAUCCAUAGGGAGAGAAGUUGGAUGAGUGGUUGCCAGACGCUGGGGCAGGAGUAAGUGUGUGUUGGGGGGUGACUGCUCAUAAUAGAUAUGGGGCUCCUUCUACAUGUGAUGAAGAUGCUCUGGAACCAGCUGGUUGAGAUGGUUGUACAACACUGUGGAUGUAUAAAUACUACUGAGACGUUCACUUUAAAAUGGUCAAUGUUGUGAUAUGUGAAUUGUAUCUCAAUACACCUGGCAUUAAAAGAUCACCCCUGAGCA